AUUGAACGCUGGCGGCACGCUUUACACAUGCAAGUCGAACGGUAACAGGCCUUCGGGUGCUGACGAGUGGCGAACGGGUGAGUAAUGCAUCGGAACGUGCCCAAUCGUGGGGGAUAACGUAGCGAAAGUUACGCUAAUACCGCAUAAGCCCUGAGGGGGAAAGCAGGGGAUCGCAAGACCUUGCGCGAAUGGAGCGGCCGAUGUCAGAUUAGCUAGUUGGUGGGGUAAAGGCCUACCAAGGCGACGAUCUGUAGCGGGUCUGAGAGGAUGAUCCGCCACACUGGGACUGAGACACGGCCCAGACUCCUACGGGAGGCAGCAGUGGGGAAUUUUGGACAAUGGGCGCAAGCCUGAUCCAGCCAUGCCGCGUGCGGGACGAAGGCCUUCGGUUGUAAACCGCUUCAGCCGGAAGAAUACGCCAAGGCUAAUAUCCUUGGUGGAGUGACGGUACCGGAAGGAAGAAGACACCGGACUUAACU
rnacentral:rRNA from 1 species